CAGCGAGGUGGGCCGUCCCUGGGACGCUUUAAAAAUACAAACUAGCGCACCAGUCUUCAGAGCGGCGAGCAAACUCCAGCGGUCAGUGUGUCUGAGGUUUUGACUACCCCGCAUACCCCUGGAAGCUAUGGCCAGCAAGAGUUUUAAGGACUUGAAGCAGCAGGCGGAAGGGACAGCCCAGGAAGCAGGUGAGGACAGCAUUCUACCUGGGCACCAGCGGGGCCACCCGCCUGGAUGCACCUGGCAGAAGCCACGGGUCUGCGCAGCCCACAUGUCUGCGGACUUCAUCUCCCAGAGACGUAGGGGCCUUGGACCCCCCACCUGCGCCUGCAAAGAAUGCCCUGAGGGACAGGAUGUUGGGGAUAGUGGUGCCCCAGGGGUCCUAGGCUGUGCUUUGGGCUUUGUCACCCGUCCUGGGGGGGAGCAGGCAGGCAUCCAAGUCUUACCCAGGUCCUAAGCGUCCCCACCCAUGCCCUCAGGAGUGGGUAAAGUUCCACAAAGAAAGGACGCUGGCUCACUUCCCAUCUGCCAGGUCUCUGAGCACAGGACGAAUGGGAUCAGGGAGGCUGCUCCAGACCUCACUGGGCUUGAUUUUGACCCUCUCUGGGGUAAAAAAAAAAUCCUUACUUUCCUUACUUUGAAGUCCUCUCCUUGUUCUAGAGGCUUCACAGCUGAAGAUGGAGAGUAAGGGAUAUGAAGAGACCCCUGGCUCACUGGGUUCCUCCUUGCAGCACCUAGUUCAGGUUUCCUGGGGAGGCAGAUACUCUGGUGGCAAGGAGAUAGCUCUACUUUGGAAGUUCCACCUCCUUUCUGCAUUUCCUUUCCUAAUGCCUUAAGCUGCCUGCCCACUGAAGCACUGACAUCCAUGUUUGUGUGCUCUUUGAGGGGAGCCACAGGGGGAGGAGGUAGGAAGGGGUCUUGAUGAAAGUAGACGCCCUAGAGUCAGGUGCACUAAAGGUGGGACAUCAGGCAUUUUCUAUGGGAGAAGUUGUUAAAGUGGACAGGGUCAUCCUGGACCAAGACCAACAGUAGCCAUAGCUCAGGUGCCAUCUCCAGCCAGGGGAUCCCCAGGAUUGAAGAGGGUGGGGUCGGACCCACUGGAUGAGAGGAGGUGUGUGUGCCCCUCUCCUGUCCACAGUCACUGGAUCCCUAACCUAGGCUCUGUGCUGCCUUCCUUCCUCGAAUAUUUUCUCAGCAACUCUGGAGAUGGGACGGGAGGUUGGCAAGAGGCGAGGGCCAAGAGUUAUAAAUAAACAAACAAGAAUGCCCAAGUGACAUGGUUGGGUGGCCUUGGGCAAGGGACUUCAUCUCAAUGGGCAUCAGUCCCUUGGGCCUAUAGGAUAGAAUAGAGAACACAGGGAAGUGGUGGUGGGGUGACUCCCUGUGGUCAGUGGUGACUCAACAGGGGAUAAAUUUCCUGUCUUUCUGUUCCAGUGACAGCAGUUGGUGAAGCGGGGCAGCAUGUACUGAAUCAGGCCACAGAGGCUGGACAGAAAGGUUUGGCAGGGCUGGCGGGGAGGAAUGAUGGGCAGCCCCAGCCACUUCUCAACCCUGCUUCAACCCUGGACCAUCCUCUCCUCUGCAGGAUUCUCUGCCUAACAAGGACCACAGGCAGACUUCCUGGGGAGGAAGACCCCUUCUCUUACCCACACACCCUUCUUUCCUUUCGCAGCCAUGGACAAUCUUGGCAAGUCUACCCAGGAAGCCAUAGACAAAGCUGCUAACCAGGCCUCUGACAGCGUCUCUGGUCUAGGGAAGAAAUUUGGCCUUCAGAAAUGACGGAAGACAUGGGCACUUCCCUCCAGGACCUGUUCAGCAGAACUUGGCCCUAAGCUCUGUUCAGCAGCUACCUCUUUGGUUUGCCCUUCAUUAAAGCUCAUGAUUCC
rnacentral:lncRNA from 1 species